rnacentral:rRNA from 1 species
GAAUUCAGUAGUGAUUCAGGCCUAGCACAUGCAAGUCGAGCGGUAGAGAGAAGCUUGCUUCUCUUGAGAACGGCGGACGGGUGAGUAAUGCCUAGGAAUCUGCCUGGUAGUGGGGGAUAACGUCCGGAAACGGACGCUAAUACCGCAUACGUCCUACGGGAGAAAGCAGGGGACCUUCGGGCCUUGCGCUAUCAGAUGAGCCUAGGUCGGAUUAGCUAGUUGGUGGGGUAAUGGCUCACCAAGGCGACGAUCCGUAACUGGUCUGAGAGGAUGAUCAGUCACACUGGAACUGAGACGCGGUCCAGACUCCUACGGGAGGCAGCAGUGGGGAAUAUUGGACAAUGGGCGAAAGCCUGAU